CUGGCACACUGGCAGUGACACUGGCACCAACAGGGGACUUGACGGAGCACCACGACCUGGAGGUGAUUCUGCUGCGUCAUGAAUUCUACUGCCUAAGCGACAUGGCCCUAAUUUGAUAUUCCACAGCCUCCAACGGGGAUUUGGUCGUAUGCGGAAAUCACAGACUAGUGUCAAAUGAAGCUAAGGAUGCUAGAUUGACGACCUACCUUCCUCAAAAAAGUAGGAGCGCCUAAUAUAGUAUCGUUGGGGACCGCUGUCAAGUUGAGCCACUUCCCGGUAUAAUAUGGAUGCCCCUGCGGCGAAUACGAUUCAUUCCGGUUCAUUUGUUAUCAGAUAUAAAAGUUGUGAAAUCCUGAAGUGGCCAGGUGCAAAAACACAUUCAAAAUCCUUUAACGGGUUUGUUAUAACAUCAUGCCAGAGCAGCGUAGUAUCCCCCAAAAAACAUCCCAGUGACAUACUCACAUACUCCCAAGAUGCCCGAAAAAAAAAAAAAAAAAAAAAGAGAGAGAGAGGGAUAUCAGAUACCAUAUUGAAAAGUAAGCAUCUCAUCUCCCCGUCGAACACGGGCGUCAUCUUCAUCCAUUCCCAACACCCUUCUUCCAAUCCAGUACCUCACGUGCGAAUCCCACCAUGUCCCUCCUACAACAGCAAAGGCGGGAAUUUUCUCAGCCCCACCUACACCAAAGCUGCGGCCAGAGCCUGAAUAAUCGAUCUCUAUAUCUAAGGAUGUAGCUGGCGGCGUCGCUGCGGCCCUAGCAUUAUUGAUCGCACGGAUCACGAUCCAGAGCACCACAUAUCCAAUGAAACUGACCAGCACCAAGCCCAAUGUAAUGAGGAAGGGAAUGUGAUAGGAAUCUUUCUGGAAGUUCGGAGAGAGUAUAAUAGAUGCCAAGACUCCCGCCAGGUUCCCAUAUCCAUUUAUCCCCAGAAUAAUGGUUCGUUUUCCAGGGUUCGGGAUAUUGCUUGCCAGCCAUGUUACAGUUAGUGGGCUUGGGAUGUAACUUCCGCUCAGUAGAAUGCAGAGGGAAAAAUAUAUAGCCACAGCCCUUGUUGGGGAAAGUGAUGUAGAGGAAGAGGGUGAUGAUGAAAAAACGACGGUAAGAACAAGGCCGAGAGCUAUCACCACGAGGCUUGCUAAUAUUGGAACGAUGCGUUUCCGAGACUUAUCACUCCAAUGGCCGAAUAUAUAGAGGAAUACAGACGCUAGGAGGAAUGGAGGAGCAGUAAGAAGGUUGCUGAUGGUGGGGGAUGAAAGAUGAAGGGAAGAUAGAACCAGUGGAAGGAAAACGGAGAAGCCAGUGUUAGGGACGGCAGAAGCAAUGUUGAGGAGGAGAAUAGGAAGCAUUAGCGGC
rnacentral:sRNA from 2 species